CACCUGAUCCCAUUCCGAACUCAGUAGUGAAACGCAAUCGCGCCGAUGGUAGUGUGGGGUUUCCCCAUGCGAGAGUAGGUCACCGCCAGGC
rnacentral:rRNA from 1 species